rnacentral:misc_RNA from 1 species
UUGCCUGUUUCCGAACUAACCGAAACCUAGUCAUAAACCCAAAUGGAAACCACAGAAGAGCCGGAGCUUCCUCGAGACCCCUCAGACAACCGUAACGACGUUGUCUCCGACGACUCCUCACCGGAAACCGACCUCACUCUCUCUCCAAUCCAACCCCAAAACCACGUUAACGAUCCCCAAAAUUCUUCUGAAAACCACCUCCCACACUCAUCCGAAACCCAGUCUCCACCACCCAAUACGACACUCGACGCUCCCGUUUCAGACUCUCAAGACGAUUCCUCCGACCCAAUCCCCGAAGCCACCCUCGAAGAACAGCCCCAAAACCCCAAUUCUACAGACCCCGCUCCACCACCAAAACGACGACGCCGUAGAAAGCGGUUCUUCACCGAAAUCAACGGAAACCCGUCGUUUCGCCGGCAGAGGAUAGCCGGAGGCUUGUCCGAAGAACUCAACGUCGAAGCACUCAUUGCAAUCUCCGUAGGUUUUCCCGUCGAUUCGCUCACCGAAGAAGAAAUCGAAGCAAAUGUGGUGUCGACAAUUGGCGGCACCGAGCAAGAUAACUAUAUUGUUGUGAGGAACCACAUUCUUUCUCGGUGGAGAUCAAAUGUGUCGAUUUGGCUUACUCGCGACCACGCUCUUGAGUCAAUCCGGGCUGAGUACAAGAACCUGGUCGACUCUGCUUAUAAUUUUCUACUAGAACAUGGCUACAUCAACUUCGGGCUCGCGCCUGCUGUUAAAGAGGCGCAAAGGGCGUUGCAUGAGCGGGCUGAGAGAGCCAAUGUGGUGGUUGUAGGGGCAGGUCUCGCUGGACUAGUUGCAGCCAGGCAGCUAGUGGCUAUGGGGUUUUAAGUGGUCGUCUUGGAAGGUAGAGCACGGCCAGGUGGUCGUGUGAAAACAAGGAGGAUGAAGGGCGAUGGGGUGGUGGCUGCCGCCGAUGUGGGUGGGAGUGUUCUUACCGGAAUCAAUGGGAACCCACUAGGAGUUCUUGCAAGGCAAUUGGGUUUACCUCUUCAUAAGGUGAGAGAUAUUUGCCCUUUGUAUUUACCUGAUGGGAAGGCUGUAGAUUCAGAGAUUGAUUCUAGAGUAGAGGUUUCGUUUAAUAAAUUGUUAGACAGAGUUUGUAAGCUUAGGCAGGCCAUGAUUGAGGAAGUUAAAUCUGUUGAUGUUAACUUAGGAACCGCGCUUGAAGCUUUUAGGCAUGCUUAUAAGGUAGCUGAGGAUUCACAGGAGAGAAUGCUGUUGAAUUGGCAUCUUGCAAAUUUAGAAUAUGCAAAUGCUUCUCUAAUGUCUAAUUUGUCUAUGGCGUAUUGGGAUCAGGAUGAUCCAUAUGAGAUGGGAGGUGACCAUUGUUUUAUUCCUGGAGGUAAUGAUACUUUUGUUAAAGAACUUGCUAUGGAUCUGCCCAUUUUCUAUGAAAGGACUGUAGAGAGUAUUAGGUAUGGAGUUGAUGGGGUUAUUGUUUAUGCAAGUGGGCAGGUGUUUCGUGGUGACAUGGCGCUCUGUACAGUGCCAUUGGGUGUGCUUAAGAAGGGAACUAUUGAAUUUGUGCCUGAGCUUCCACAAAGAAAGAAAGAUGCAAUUCAGAGAUUGGGAUAUGGGCUGUUAAAUAAGGUGGCUCUGUUGUUUCCCUAUAAUUUUUGGGGAGGAGAGAUUGAUACAUUCGGGCAUUUGACAGAAGAUUCAAGCAUGAGAGGUGAAUUCUUUCUGUUUUAUAGUUAUUCUUCUGUUUCAGGGGGUCCGCUUCUAAUUGCUCUUGUUGCUGGGGAUGCUGCAGUUAAGUUUGAGACAAUGUCUCCAGUGGAGUCUGUUAAAAGGGUCCUAGAAAUAUUGCGGGGUAUUUUCCAUCCAAAAGGGAUUGUUGUUCCAGAUCCAGUUCAGGCAGUCUGUACCCGCUGGGGGAAAGAUUGCUUCACAUAUGGGUCUUAUUCUUAUGUUGCAGUUGGAUCUUCAGGAGAUGAUUAUGAUAUUCUUGCUGAGAGCAUUGGAGAUGGAAGGGUUUUCUUUGCGGGAGAGGCAACAAACAAACAGUAUCCAGCAACAAUGCAUGGAGCAUUUCUAAGUGGAAUGAGAGAGGCUGCUAACAUAUUGAGAGUGGCCAAGAGGAGGUCUUUGGCUCUGACCAGCAAAUUAAACAAUGACAUUGAGGAAAGUGAUGAUUUAACUAAAUUAUAUGACACCCCUGAUCUGAUAUUUGGGAGCUUCUCUAUUCUGUUUGAUCCCAGGUCUAAUGAUCUUGAAUCCCUUUCAUUAUUAAGGGUCAAAUUCCAAGGACCAAAAUUGGAUUCUUGCUCGCUGUGUCUUUAUGGUUUGAUUUCCAGGAGGCAGGCCAUUGAACUAAGCGAGUUAGAUGAUGAUGGAAAGAGGAUGGAAAUGUUAUGUCACAACUUUCAGGUAAGGUUGGUUGGUAGGAAAGGCUUCUCUGAUGCUGGGGAUUCCCUUAUCAUGCACAUCAAGGCAUCUAGAUCCAGACUAAUUGUUGGAAUUUGAGGUUGACGCUGGGCAUCAAAACAGAAAAUCUCUCUUUUGCUGUCCUAUGAGUGGAGGUGGCUAACUCAUUGGCAUCUCAAAUAUUGGACUUUCCAUGAACUGGAUAAUUGAUUUUAGAGACAAUUAUGUGGGUAAUAGUUCAGGUAUUUCCAAAUUGAUUUAUGCAUAAUCUGGUUUGAUUUUUGAUGUAUUUUAGAUAGAUAGUCUUUUUUGGCUGUAAUUCAAACAUUGAUUUGGGCAUAAUAUUUGCUCAAGGGUAGAACAAUAUUUUGCUGUUCUUUGCAGAAACAGGUGUCCUCUACAAGAAAUUAUUGAAUGGAUGGGAGUUUAGGUCCUCUUAGUCUUUCCAAUUUCUACAUCAGAGUAAUUUUUGAGAAGGAUUGGAGAAAUGCUCCAAUUGCCCAUUUUUUAAGAAGAUUGAAGCUGAUUUGUGUAUAGAAUUCUAGUAAAAUUAAUUAUCUGUACUUGUGAACCCAUCAAUGCAU